rnacentral:rRNA from 1 species
AUUGGACGCUGGCGGCAGGCUUAACACAUGCAAGUCGAGCGGAGAUGAGGUGCUUGCACCUUAUCUUAGCGGCGGACGGGUGAGUAAUGCUUAGGAAUCUGCCUAUUAGUGGGGGACAACAUUCCGAAAGGAAUGCUAAUACCGCAUACGUCCUACGGGAGAAAGCAGGGGAUCUUCGGACCUUGCGCUAAUAGAUGAGCCUAAGUCGGAUUAGCUAGUUGGUGGGGUAAAGGCCUACCAAGGCGACGAUCUGUAGCGGGUCUGAGAGGAUGAUCCGCCACACUGGGACUGAGACACGGCCCAGACUCCUACGGGAGGCAGCAGUGGGGAAUAUUGGACAAUGGGCGGAAGCCUGAUCCAGCCAUGCCGCGUGUGUGAAGAAGGCCUUUUGGUUGUAAAGCACUUUAAGCGAGGAGGAGGCUACCUGGAUUAAUACUCUAGGAUAGUGGACGUUACUCGCAGAAUAAGCACCGGCUAACUCUGUGCCAGCCGCCGCAGUAAAAC